AUUGAAGAGCUGGCUACCAGAGGGGAAGGAUCUCUUCUGGAGAUCACCUCUAUUGGUGUUUUGUGGUGAGCCCAGCUGAAGGGUGUUCCACUUGGGCUCUGUAUCAUGCACUGGCUAUGCAGGUACAGCAGUGCAAAAAGCCCUGCAAACCUGGGGAGAAUCAAAGCAGGAGAGAGGCUGUGGUGUGGAGGAAGGAAAAGUACGCUUUGAAGCAGAGGAUGCUCUGCUGGCACUGCCUAUCAAAUCCACUGCCACUGUGUUCCUGCUCUCUCCUCUGGCAGCUUGCUGUCUCUCAAGGGUCGGUAAGUAAGAGUGCACUGGCUUAGGGAGCUUCUGCUUCCCUUAUGGGGAUUAUCUAAAAUGGAUGCAUGUGUGUAUGCUGAAUAAAAUCCAUAACUCUCUGCACUGCUCUGAGUGUACAUUUUGCUUGCCUCUGCUCCUGAGACGUCCUGCCUCUCAGAUCCAAACGUACCCUGAAACAUAACUGGUGAUGAGGAUGGGAUCCGACUGCCGAGAUGUCAGGGGGUUGGGGGUAGGCACUGAGAGGUUUGGUUCUUGUUGUUGUUUUGGGUUUUGUUUUGUUGGUGGUUUUUUUUUUUUUUCUUUCCUUCUCACUUUCUUUCUCUCCCUUCUUUAAGACAGGGAUUAGGUGAUGGGAAGGUCUGCCCCAGGAUUGCACUGCUAUAGGGUUGGGUACCUUUAAAGAGUCUCUUAUUGACGUGGCAAAUCUGCAGCUUGUGUUAAGUUUUUGUAUGUUUGUUAAUUGUUACUUUUCUGGCUGCAGCAGUGUGUGUGUGUGUUACAAUGCAUGAAAGCAAUUCACACAUUCCAGACAUGGAGCAGCUGGUUGAGGAAACUGCGGCGGGGACUUGUUGAAAACAGUAGUAAGUGAUGAAUUGGAGAAGUGAUUGAAAGUGUGGAACCCUGGGAUCUGUGAAAAAUAACAACUGAAGCUCCCAUCUUGCUGCGGGAUAUUGGUUAUGGCUCUCCCUGAAGGAAUUUGGCGUGCAACUGUGCCUUGAGGGAGCUGCAGAUUCUGUCACCGAGCAAUUUGAGGAGGGCCUGACUGCCCACUGCCAUUAAUAUCUUGAAUGAACUACAGGCCUGAAUCGCAUUUGGUAGAAGACAAAUUCACAGUGUAUGUUCCAGAAAACGACACUGUGAAGACUCAAGUUGUUAUUUACAGAAGUCAUCCCUCCUGACUAGACAACGACAGAAAGGUGAAAAAUGCAGUGAUACCUGGGUCAGGGAUCAGAGACACCUGGAUGGUGGAGAUAAACCAAACCACCAACAAUGAAUCUCCAGCUGAAGCUGGGAGUGAAACUGGUAAGAUGGACAGUUGUAAGGGUGGGUGGGAAAGCUUUAAAAAGAAAAAAGUUGUGAAGAUAUAUAAGUGAUGUGAGCACUUGUAAUAAAGGACUUGGAUCGUUCACAUCUGAGUCCAUGCAUCAGAUGUUGCAAAUGCUGCCCAAUGUGGGGCAGAUCUUUGGCUGGAACUCAAGAACAAAUGGUCUCUGGAAGAGUGGGCAAGCUACUUAUGAUGAUUACAAGUAUGUAGUGAAGCUGUGCAGGGAGAGACAUUGUGGUGCUGGAGCAGGCCCAAAGGGCAACAGGGUUUGUGAAGGGCUUGGAGAAUAUGUCCUACGAGGAGAGACUGAAGGGACUGGAGCUGUUUAGUCGGGGGAAGAGUGGCUGAGGGGAGACCUUAUUGCUCUCUUCCAAUAUCUGAAAGGUGCUCACAGCGAGAGUCGGGUUGCUCCCUUAUCACUGGUGACGGGAUGAGGGGAAAUGGCCUUAAGUUGCUUCAGGGUAAGUUUAGGUUGGAUAUCAGGAAACACUUAUUUACAGAAAGGGUUGUUAAGCACUGGAAUGGGCUCCCCAGGGGGUGGUUGAGACACCAUUACUGGGAGUGUGCUUCGGAUGUGAUGCUCAGGGACAUGAUUUAGCAGAGGGUGGUUAGAGUUAGGGUAAUAUGGUUAGGUUGUGGUUGGACUUGAUGAUCUUUAAGGUCUUUUCCAACCUGAGCAAUCCUAUGAUUUUAUGAAAUCAACCAGAAGCUGAGCAAGCCUGGGCCAGCAGCACCACCCAACUGAACUUCGGAGAGAUUGUUUGGCAUGUGCCUGCAACGUUCUGCAGGACUGAAGGAGAGCAGUUGGGAACUAUACGGAGUUCAAUAAUGAAGAAGCAACAAGUAAAUCUUGAAGUAUUAUGGUUAGUUUUAACAUUUCAGAAUCAUCUUUGUAGGAAUCAAAUGUUUUUUCUGCAUUAGAAUUGGAUAAUAUUUUAUUUCAUGGUCUCUGCUCCAUAGUUCUUUGUGAGAGUCUUUCCUGCAUUAGAAACAGUGUGACCAGCAGGAGCAGGGAGGUGAUCAUCCCCCUCUACUCAGCACUGGUGAGGCUGCACCUCAAGUACUGUGUUCAGUUUUGGACUCCUCACUACAAGAAAGACAUUGAGGCCCUGGAACGUGUCCAGAGAAGGGCAACCAAACUGGUGAGGGGUCUGGAGCACAAGUCUUAUGAGGAGCGGCUGAGGGAGCUGGGAUUGUUCAGUCUGGAGAAGAGGAGGCUCAGAGGAGACCUCACUGCACUCUACAACUUCCUGAAGGGAGGUUGUGGUGAAGAGGGAUUUGGCCUCUUCUCCCUGGCAACGAGCAGGACACGGGGCAAUGGCCGCAAGUUGUAUCAGAGGAGGUUUAGGUUGGGCAUAAGGAAGAACUUUUUCUCUCAGAGAGUGGUCAGGCACUGGAAUGGCUGCCCAGGGAGGUGGUGGAGUUGCCGUCCCUGGCAGUGUUCAAGAGGCGUCUGGAUGAUGUGCUGCGUGCUAUGGUUUAGUGCUUGUGGUGGCAAUGGUGAUGAGGAGACGGUUGGACUGGAUGAUCUUAUAGGUCGUUUCCAACCUUGUAAUUCUAUGAUUCUAUGAUUCUACUUUACUUGGGGGGGUGUCCUGAUGGUUUACAUCACUUAUCCUCUGGAUAAACCUUCCCUAGAAAUGCAUGCUCAGUAAAUAAGAGUAUAAUGUAUGCAUGUAUAUUUUAUUAUACUCACUGUGAGAAUAUAUUGCAUGAGAUUGAUCAAACCAGAGAACAAGUCAUGGCAUGGCCAAGGAAGCACUGGAAGAGACAUCAGAAGGCCUGGCAUCAUCCCCGUCCACCCCCCCCAUGCUAUUUGCUUAACGAGGACUUUGAAGAAAAUCACUGUAUCAAUAUGACAAGAAGAACACUGAGACAUCUUGAAAACAACAGGAUGGCUACUGACUGACAUCAGAUAACACACCGAUUAACAAAUGUAAACUUUGAUAAGAUUUGAACCUGGAGUACCCAGCUUAUGGAGAAACAGAGGAGAGGGAUGGGAAAGGGGGGGAAACAAGGUACAGAAAGCAGUCACUGAGUCCUUAGGGGUGCUCCUGCUUGUGGGACGCCAGCCAUUGCAAUCGCGAAUAAAAUCUGCUCUUAUCAGAGAUACCGUCCUGACAAAAAUUAUUUGGGUAUUUCUAACUGUGUAUCUACUUAAGCAUUAGCAACUUUUCCUAAUCGGAUAAGUGUCGUGGUUUUGUGAUUUUUUUUUUUUUUGGUUAUCGGUAUUCCACAUCAUAACAUCAUGUGGGGCACUGAGAGUUUAACUGAUAAUGCUCAAGUUCUGGGUACCUGUUCAGAAGAGCAGAACUACAUUCCCCAGGGGGCUUUGCGGUCACAGAGGAGAUACAGCUCCUGGCAAGGUCAUCUGAUGCCAUCUUCUUCAUUGGCUCUUCUUCAUCAGCUCUCCUCCCAUCUCCCUGCUGCUCAACUGGACUGCGCAUCUCACCUCAGCGUUGUGGUGAGGCCUGUCCACCUUUUGGACGUUCUCUCAUUAGAUUUUGAUUUAUUAGCUUCAAUUCUGAUUAUAUUGUAUUAUGGUGUGUUAUCUUGCAUUCCGAUACCAUAUUUAGUAAAUUAGAUUGUUCCACCUCA